UGGAUAAACAGGAAAGGAAUACUCCACUAGAGAGAGAGAGUCAUGUCUGCAAGGAAGCCGGAAAAGUACACGAAUGGUAAAGGAACAAGAGAGGUUAAUUUGAAUAUAAUACUUGGGGAAGAAACAGUAGUGUGUCUACUGAUAAUAAGCCUGAGCGAACAAUCAACUGCAAGCCUCCCCUGCCUACCUUUCUUAUCUUCUCAUGACCCUGGUUAGUAUGUUCAGAAAUUCAAGGACAGGGUUGGGUAAUGGAAGGAUAUAAUCAGGAUAAAAGUGAGUUCUUUGUCCUUUUUGGCUUCCAGUCCCUCAGCGUGGGUCAUGCCAACCCACUCCUGUCCUGGGUGUGACCCAUCCAGAACACUCUGUGCCGCUGGAUGUGAUGCAAUACGAACACUGCACAAGGCGGCUGCCUCUCUUGUAAAAACGUAGCAUAUGGUCAGCUACACAGCACUGCAAAAAAAAUGUCAUGAAUAAAAGAAUUGCAUGGCACUCCCGGAGCUAAGGAGCAUGCAUGCUCCAGGAGUGUAGAGGACUCAAAUCAUGAAAGGCCUUUAAGGUGUUGGCAAAUGGGGAAGGACAAAAGGCUUUCAAAACAGAGGGGCAACAAGAUCAGAACUCUUAUUUGGAGUAGUAACUCCAACAGCAUUGGUUGGAAGAGGAAAUAUUUUAGAAGCUCAGUGAAGUGACUAUUUCAAGUAGUCUAGGUGACUAGAGCAGAAACUACAGCUGUACUGAAGGAGAGUGACAAUAGGUCAGCAUCCUGCGAUCACGUUGCACUGUUGCUUUAUGCUUGUAUUUGAUGGCACAAUUGUUUACAACCCUUCUCUUUCUUCUCUGCCUUAUCAUUAGUGUUACUUUAGAAUAAUGAAGCCUGUUCCAUCCAUUAACUUCACUAACAUUUGAUCUCCCCACGGGUUGAGGUUAAAAAUUAAUUACUCUUCCAACAUAUUGAUUACAUGACUAUAAAUAUAAAAACAGAACUACAGAGCAACUACCGGGACCUUUGUUUAAAUAGCAUGUUUGCUCUUUUUAAAGGAGGGAAUUAAUGUUGAAGGACCUUGGACCUGGAGGAACAUACAAGAAAAGCAACGCUAGAGUGCCAUCUAGUGUCGACAACAUUUUUUAAUGCAGCAUAUCAAAGAAAGGAUGUGUAGAUGCUGCUGUGAUUAAUUAAACAUGUUUACGUGGAUAGGAAGAGGAUGGAGGAGACAUCCAAUCUAUGCAAAGUCCCACCCUCAGCACCUUGCCUCAGGUCUCCUGAUUUUGACCUCCAGCUCCUCUCCCAAAUGAGUUCCCUUCUAUCUGAGUGUGAAUUAGCUCUCCUCACUUGCCAACUUCCACUGCCCCAGCAUCCACACAAAGGUUAACUUCUAUCUGCUCAAAGCCUGAACAUGUGACCACCAGCAUGCUGGUGCUCUAGAAGCUAAAGGAACAGUGCAGUGGAAUAAACACUUACUGGCACCCGUUCUCCUCCCCAACCUGGGCCCAGUCAAUGGCAUCACAUCCCACCAGGGCCUGUGCCCUGAGCUGUGACCAGGUGACCAGUGGCAAACAGAACUGUGGUGCAAGGCAUCACCAGAAUCAACGCAGGAGAUCAGGGACAGCAAAGAGCAGCUUCCGCUUAACCACCUGAACAAGAAAGUAAAACGGAAACAUCUGCUCUCCCACUGUGUCCUAGACCAAAGGAGGGGGAUUGCUGCUAGCUCUUAGGUUACAGUAAGUUUUCAUUUAAGUUUUCUUCAUAUUAAGGACAUGGUUACGUUGUUUUUAAAUGUCAGAAAACUCUAAACCAAAAGUACCCUCCAGUACUUCCUUUACUAUGUGCUUUCUUUACUACGAUCAGCAAUCAGUUCAGUUUUAUUGUUUUAGUUCAUAUAUCGAGUGAGGGUCACAUCAUCCUUUGACAGCCUGAACCCAGGGCUCUGUAUGAAUAUAACUUCCUUAAUCAGUUGCAGAUGGAGAAGUUUAGUUGACUAGUUACAUAGAGAAAGAGGCCAUGAGAGAGCCCUGGCAUUCUUACUAAUGUUUGCAGCAGCUAGGGGAAGAAAAUGAAUAGAAAAAUCCUGGGUUUCAAUGUCCAACUCUCCUUGGAUUGGGAUGUCCAUUGGACUCUCUCCAUUUCACCAAGCACAUUGGUUACUUCUUGUGGGAGAGAACCCCGGAGAGAGCAGAAAUGAGAGGAUGGAGAAAGGAAGUGGAGAUAAUGCUCCAGAACAGUUCCUUCCAGAGAUUGGAGGCUAAUCUCCCCCAGAGAAACAGGAGGGAGAGAGAACAAGGUUCCCCCUGAAUGUUCUCUUUACUAACAGCUUUGCAAACUGUUUACAGACAGAAGAUACAAAUACUUAAACAAUUGAGAAACACUAAUAGAGCAAAAUAGUCUGAGAAAGACAGUGUCAUUGGGAGUCGUAUAGGGGGAAGAAUUUCAUAGAGAAAAUAGAAUUUGAGAUGACCUGGGAAAGACGGAGUAAGUUCAUCAAAUAUGAGGGUUUAUCAAGCACCAUCACGUAAGGCAGUGGGUGCUGGGCUCUAUAAACAGAGAUAAGUAAGUCACCAUCUCUAAGUUCCGGAAGCUCAUGGCCUGAGUCAGUGGCUUGCAAAAGUAGCUGUGCAUUAGAAUCAUCUGAGGAGAUUUUUAAAAAUACAUAUAAUCUUGAUUUAAUUUAUCUGGAGUAGAUUCUGGGUAUCAUUAUCUUUUUAAACCUCAGGUAUAGGCAAAGAGUUCAUAAAGAAGACAAAAAAAAUAACCAUAAAAAAUUUGGACUUCAAUGAAGUCAAGAUUUUACAAUCAUUAAAGAGUAAAAUACAAACCACAGACUGGGUGAAGAUAUAUAUUAGCAAUGAAUAUAUUCAAGAACUGGAAACAAUACAAAUGUCCCUCAAUAAGAGAAUAGGUAAAUAAAUUGUGGUACACUGAUACAAUACUACACACAAUAAAAGAGAAACUACCUACACACAGAACAAAAUGGGUGAAUCUCAAAUUUUACUGAGUGGAAGAAGCCAGAGACAGAAGAGUAUAUAUUGAAUAAUUAUUAAAAUUUCAACAGGUAAAUCUAAUCAUGGCAAUCCAAGUUAUCUUUUGAUGACUUGACUGAGAAGGAGCACAGCAGAACUUUCUAGGGACUUAGAGAUGUGGUGUGUGUGUGUGUGUGUGUGUGUGUGUGUGUGUGUGUGUGUUAAUCCUGAUCUGGGUUGGUAGUUACAAAGAGUAUGUGCAAGGGCAAUUCUCAGAGAGGAAUACAGUUGUGAACCAUCAGCAACCAACAUCCCCAGCAUCUGGGGGAAAUAAAGGUCUUAAUCCUGGGAGAAAGAUUUGGGCAAAGCAUCACAGCAGCCCACUACACCAUGUGAUUCUAAUGUGGACCCAGGACUGAGAGCUAUUGGUCUAAGUCAGUGAUUCUCAAAGCAUGGUCCCUGAUUGGCAGCAUCAGCAUCACCUGUGUACUUGUGAGAAAUGCAAAUUAGUGACUUCUUCUGAAGCAGAAACUAUGGGGAUAGAGACUAGUGAUCUGUGUUUUAACAAGACCUCCAGGUAAUUCUGAGAAGCACUAAAAUGUGAGAAUGACUGGUCUAAGAGGUUUCACUGGAGAGUACAGAAGGGCUUUCAGAGAAAUGGAAGAAAACAUAACAAUGUCACAAAGCAAGUCAGGUAUAACAUGAACAGAGUGUAGCUUGGAGAAAGGUGAUGAGAAACUUGUUUAGCAAGUAGAACUAGUUAUUAGGGGAUUUUAUUUAAAAUUUUUCUCUCUUAAUCCAAUAGAUUGUAAGAAAACAUUGUAGAUUCCUAGUAACCUGGCGGAGGAGCAAGGUAAAAUAGGGGGAAGAGAGACAAUGUGCAGUGAAGAUUCCAAGAAGAGGUAAUUGAAAUCAUCUAUGCAUAAAGUAAGGAGGACAAAAAGUGCAGUCACUAACAGUAAAAAAUGGGAAGGAAGAGAUGACACUGAGGGACUCAAGGAUAGUUGGCAACAGAAUUUGAAUUUCCAAUGGAAUGAGGAAGCAAAGGUUACUACAAGAUUUUGAGAUUUGCAUCACUAGCACAGUACCAAUCACUGACACAGCUGGGGAAGUCAGAAGAGAAAGUGGAAGGAAAUAUGAAUUUUGUUUUUUAUUUUGGAGAGUGUGAUAUUGUGAUUUAUAAUAAGAAAGAUAUAUUUGGGCUUCAUCCCUGUUCGAGGCACAGAGCUCCUAAUACCCUUGGAAUUCCCUAAAAGAGCAAUAAAGGUUGUUGUAGACUCUGGGUCUGGAGUUCUCUCUUGUCCAGCAAGAGAGCAGACACAGGAUUGAAAGGCAAGAGAGGCUAAUGUCUGGGAGGAGACAAGAGCCCCGAGUAAGCGUCCUUGCUCCAUUUUUAUUAGGAUCAGAAGACUUACAAGAGUGAUCGACCUGCACAAAGAGACAACGAAACUGUGAACAUUAACUCAUGGGCAUGGGAGAAAGGGGUUUUGAAGAUAUGCAGUAUAAGGGGUUUGGGUCAAUACAAAACAAAAUUCUGGUGCUGGGCAGAAGGUUGUUUACAGAAGACUUGAGGCGCAACCUCUGUUUACCUAAACUGGCCAGGGGACAAAAAAGACAGAGCAUGCUACCUCUGGGUCAACAAGGCCCCUUUCUUUUGCUAAUUAGCUCUACUCCUAGCAACUUCACCCUGCUGUGGUCCAUAGCCCUAUUUACCUAUUUACCUAUUUUAGUCCUUCCAUCCUGUGCAAGCAGCUUUGUGCUAUUGUACUAAGUUGGGGGGGGGGGGGAGGCAUUUCUGCCCUGAACACCUAAUCUUGUUUACCUCAUUUUUGAUGCUUUCAUCCUGAGGCGUUUCUAUUCCUAUAUCUUUGUCCUAUACGGGGGCCUUUGUCCUGUUUACCCAAUCUUGUUUGCCCAAACUUGGGUGUGUUCAUCCUGUGGCUUUCUAAUUAUUUAUGCCUUGUAAACCCAUGGGUGCAAGCUCAGGGUAUUCCUAAGCUUAUUCCCCACAAAAGGUGUUUUCUGUUCCAUUACUGAGGUGACUUUUGGAAAGCCCCUAGGUAACCAUAAGACUAGGGCUUAUUCCCAGGGUAACCACCCUUGCAACUGGAGGGUUGGAACUUUCAACCCCAUCCCUAAGGAGGGGAGAGGGGCUGGAGACAGAGCACAAUCACCAAUGGUUGGUGAUUUAAUCAAUCAUGCCUAAGUAUUGAAACCUCCAUAAAAACCCAAAAGGACAAGGUUCAAAGAACUUAAAGGUUGGUGAACCGGAACACAAUCACCAGUACUGUGCCAGGGCUCUAAACUCCACAGAGACAGAAGUUCCUUCGUUCAGGACCACACCCUA